AGGAUAAAGAGCAGAAAGACAAGAAGGAGAAAAAGAACAAGGAAGAGAAAGGCAAGAGCAAAGGGGAAUCAGAAGAAGAAACCGAGGAAGAGAAGGAUGAUGAAAAAGGGAAAAACAAGGAAUCGGAUGAAGAAGACGAGAGACAGACAGAGGAAGAGGAGAAUGAUGAAAAAGGGGUGAAGAAGGAUAAGGAGAAGAAAAACAAGGAAAAGAAAGAGAAAAAGGACAACGAAAAGAAAGAUAAGAGCAAAGAGGAAACGGAGGAAGAGAAGGAUGAUGAAAAAGGAGAGAAGAAGGAUAAAGAGAAGAAAUGCAAGAAGAAUAAGAAAGAGAAAAAGGAUAAAGAAACGAAAGACAAGAGCAAAGAGGUGUCGGAUGAAGAGGAAGAGAAAGAUGACGAAGAAGGGGAGAAGAAGGAUAAAAAAAAGAAACACAAUAAGGAUAAGAAAGAAACAAAGGAUAAAGAAAAGAAAUACAAGAGCAAAGAGGAGUCAGAAGAAGAAGAUAAGAAAGAAACGGAGGAAGAGAAGGAUGAUGAUGAAGAGGGUCAGAAGAAGGAAAAAGAGAAGAAAAACAAGAAGGAUAAAAAAGAGAAAAAGGAUAAAGAAAAGAAAGUCAAGAGCAAAGAGGAGUCAGAUGAAGAAGACAAGCAAGACAAGGUGAAUGAGGUUGAAGUCGCCACAAGAGAGAUAAAA
rnacentral:lncRNA from 1 species